rnacentral:tRNA from 1 species
GCGGACGUAGCUCAGCUGGUAGAGCGCCAGGUUGUGGUCUUGGAUGUCACGGGUUCGAGCCCCGUCGUUCGCCCCA